UACGUAGGGUCCGAGCGUUGCCCGGAAUUAUUGGGCGUAAAGAGCUCGUAGGCGGUUCGUCGCGUCGGCUGUGAAAACCCGAGGCUCAACCUCGGGCCUGCAGUCGAUACGGGCGGACUGGAGUUCGGCAGGGGAGACUGGAAUUCCUGGUGUAGCGGUGAAAUGCGUAGAUAUCAGGAGGAAUACCGGUGGCGAAAGCGACUCUCUGGACGGCAACUGACGCUGAGGCACGAAAGCGUAGGGAGCAAACAGG
rnacentral:rRNA from 1 species